CUCCUGGGCCUGUUCUGGGAAGAACUGGGGCUGAGGACUCUUCAGCUGGUUCAAGGAUGCUGCUGAGGAGCAUAGUGUCAGGGUAAGAAUAUCUUACUGUUUCUGCUCUGAGUGGCUUCAAGCACAGGCAGCGUGUCAGCAAACAACUGUUUUUCAACUGGUCUUCCACAACUUAACUUUUCAGUCAUCACCUGUGAUGCAGAAAAUGUUGGCUGACCAAGCAGAUGAUUGAGCUGCAAGAAGUCAUCACCAGGAGGGACAUUUCUUCAGCUGAGAAUUUGUACCCUGAACACACUGUGGUUUUAACUCCACAGACCUGAAGACACAAGCAGAAGAGAUUCAGAAAAGCCAAGAACUGAGUGAGUUCACAAUGCAAGCAGGAACAUAAG